UACGGAGGGGGCUAGCGUUAUUCGGAAUUACUGGGCGUAAAGCGCACGUAGGCGGACUGGAAAGUUGGGGGUGAAAGCCCAGGGCUCAACCCUGGAACUGCCUUCAAAACUCCCAGUCUUGAGGUCGAGAGAGGUGAGUGGAAUUCCGAGUGUAGAGGUGAAAUUCGUAGAUAUUCGGAGGAACACCAGUGGCGAAGGCGGCUCACUGGCUCGAUACUGACGCUGGAGGUGCGAAAGCGUGGGGAGCAAACAGG
rnacentral:rRNA from 1 species